rnacentral:rRNA from 1 species
GACGAACGCUGGCGGCGUGCUUAACACAUGCAAGUCGAGCGGAAAGGCCACUUCGGUGGUACUCGAGCGGCGAACGGGUGAGUAACACGUGAGUAAUCUGCCCCUCACUUUGGGAUAGCCACCGGAAACGGUGAUUAAUACCGGAUAUGACCAUAUGUCGCAUGGCGUGUGGUGGAAAGUUUUUCGGUGAGGGAUGUGCUCGCGGCCUAUCAGCUUGAUGGUGAGGUAAUGGCUCACCAUGGCUUCGACGGGUAGCCGGCCUGAGAGGGUGACCGGUCACACUGGGACUGAGACACGGCCCAGACUCCUGCGGGAGGCAGCAGUGGGGAAUAUUGGACAAUGGGCGGAAGCCUGAUCCAGCAACGCCGCGUGAGGGAUGACGGCCUUCGGGUUGUAAACCUCUUUCAGUACCGACGAAGCGCAAGUGACGGUAGGUACAGAAGAAGCACCGGCCAACUACGUG